GGGUGACAGCGCCGGGAGGGCUGGAGCAGGCACGGAGGGCACUGCCGGGCGGCCCAGGGGACAGCAGAGGGCACGGGGGGUGCUGGCGGCGGGUGCCACCCCCGGAGGCUCUCGCAGCCCCUCGCCCACCCUCGCCAGGGGGACCCGCGGGGCAGGGGGUGGCAGGAAACCAUCGGGGUUUGUCACUCGCUCUUGCGGUCGGGGGCGAGCUGAGAACGGGCUGCUCUUGAGUUUGCUCAUGAGGCAGGAAACCGGAGCGAGGCGGGGAGAGCGGCGGCGCAGCCGGGCCCGGGGGGCUCCUCUCUGCACCCCGAAAGGUCCCACCCGGCCCGGGGGGCUCCUCUCCGCACCCCACAAAGCUCGGGGGGCUCCUCUCCGCACCCCACAAAGCUCGGGGGGCUCCUCUCCGCACCCCACAAGGCUCGGGGGGCUCCUCUCCGGCUCCCCGGGAUGGGGAGGACGUGACGGGCGCGGCCCCAGCGGGAUAUGGGACUGUGAGAGCGGCCGCUGCUCCCCUCGCUGCCAACAGGUGAAACGGCUGCUGCUGCUGGUGGUGGAAAUUACGCUGUGGCUUGGGGCUGUAAGAAAAAAAAAAGGCACAAUAGCAGCACCUCCCUCCUCACCGCGGGAGGAAAAAACAGCUCCCAGCGCUGCUGGAGGUGUUUGAAAAGCUCUGGGGGGCUCCUCCGUGGGGUCAGUGGGAUGGAUUUGGGAUUUCUCAGCUGUGCCUUUGCUCUGGCCAAGAAAUGUGGGCACUUUGCUGCUGUUCUUGUCAUAAAACUGGGCUUGAGCUGGGUCCUGCUCAGAAAAACCCUCAAAAUGUUGAUGAAUUUUGGAUUUUUUUUUUUUACUCUUCUGGCUGCCUAGCUGAGAUGUAGGUGCUGGGAAUUAUAAGGAAAGGGUCAGCAAAAGAAAAUUCGUGUUUGAACAGCCGUCACCCUGCCUGCAGCAUGGCCAAAGCCCUGCCUGGGUGCCAAAAUGUGUCCCCAGAUUUGUGUCACCAGGAGCUGAAGGUGCCAGGGUGGGGUUUGAG
rnacentral:lncRNA from 1 species